GACAGAGGGUGCAACCGUUGUUCGGAAUUACUGGGCGUAAAGCGCGUGUAGGCUGCUUGGCAAGUCGGAUGUGAAAGCCCUGGGCUCAACCCAGGAAGUGCAUUCGAAACUGCCGAGCUGGAGUCCUGGAGAGGAAGGCGGAAUUCUCGGUGUAGAGGUGAAAUUCGUAGAUAUCGAGAGGAACACCGGUGGCGAAGGCGGCCUUCUGGACAGUUCCUGACACUGAGACACGAAGGCCAGGGGAGCAAACGGG
rnacentral:rRNA from 1 species